AUUGGGCGUAAGCGCGCGCAGGUGGUUUCUUAAGUCUGAUGUGAAAGCCCACGGCCCAACCGUGGAGGGUCAUUGGAAACUGGGAGACUUGAGUGCACAAGAGGAAAGUGGAAUUCCAUGUGUAGCGGUGAAAUGCGUAGAGAUAUGGAGGAACACCAGUGGCGAAGGCGACUCCCCGGUCUGUAACUGACACUGAGGCGCGAAAGCGUGGGGAGCAAACAGGAUUACAUACCCUGGUAGUCCA
rnacentral:rRNA from 1 species